UACGUAGGGGGCAAGCGUUGUCCGGAAUCAUUGGGCGUAAAAGCGCGUGUAGGCGGCCAGAAAAGUCCGCUGUGAAAACUCGAGGCUCAACUUCGAGCUGUCGGUGGAAACUUUCUGGCUAGAGUCCGGAAGAGGAGAAUGGAAUUCCUGGUGUAGCGGUGAAAUGCGCAGAUAUCAGGAAGAACACCCGUGGCGAAGGCGGUUCUCUGGGCCUGCACUGACGCUCAUGCACGAAAGCGUGGGGAGCAAACAGG
rnacentral:rRNA from 1 species